AGUGAGGCUUGCUUCUGGGCUGUCUACUUGCUUUGGCCUUGAUUCCCUUCCCUGUUGUUAGCCUUAGCUAUUUAUCCUUAUCCCACAAGGAUGAAGUUAAGGGGGCAUGGGAGACCUGAGGAUUAGCGGUCUUCACCCUUUGUCCAUGUGGUCCAGAUGAGUAUUGGUUUAGUUUGUUCCAGAUCCUAUAAGGCUUAGAACUCAGAUUAACUAUCAAGUCGUCCUGAGCACCAUUUUCAAGUGGCUUUACAUGUGUGGCCACACUCAUGCCUUUCCACAAAGACAGAUUGCCGGCACAAUCCAGUCUACAGCCCUACAGGCCUUCCCUGCUGGCUUUAGAUCAGAAGCUGGCCGUUCCAGAGUAUCUAUGGCUGUGUACCAAGUGACUCAGUGGCUUCAAGUAAAAAUGAUUUCUUUCCUCCAUCUGGGGCCCUGCGCUCAGUCCAAUGGUUGGCUGCGAGCAUCCGCCUCUGUAUUUGUCAGGCUCUCUGAGGAUUCGAACUCAGACUCUCAUGCUCAUUUGGCAAACACUGAAGAGUUAUUUCACAGGAUGCUUAUGGAGGCAGAAAGCGAUCCACUGGAGAAUGAUAAUCUAACGGUGACCCAGAUGGAUUAAAGGACGGCGAGGACAGGAUGGAUCUAAAGACACUGUGUAAUUGAAUCCGAUCAUAGUGGGAAAGCAGUAAUUUCUUCGCUUUGCUGGUGAAGUUUAUCUUCACGAGUGAGUCACGUAUCAUCCCGUUGUAUGUCCCAGACUACAAGGAAAGGGAGCCAACGCUCGCAUUCCCAAUUCAGCCAAACCUUUACAAGCCUUUCCUUGGAGUGAAGCCAUGGAGGAGAAAAGGCAGGUUGCAAGUCUGCCCUGAGCAUGGAGAACCUCACUUGGAGACCAAUGCUAUUCUCCAUGAUUGUUUUGGAGCCUCUACCAAAACUGAGACCAAAGCCCUUCCACUUCUAACACUAUCAGGUUUACUGAAAUUAAAUUGGACACAGAAUUUU
ensembl:lincRNA 4930544M13Rik RIKEN cDNA 4930544M13 gene